CAAAAGGGCAUCUGGUGGAUGCCUAGGCACAAAGAGGCGAUGAAGGACGUGUAAGGCUGCGAAAAGCUAUGGGGAGCCGCCAAUAGGCAUUGAUCCAUAGAUCUCCGAAUGGGAAAACCCACCGCAUGAGCGGUAUCUACUCCUGAACACAUAGGGAGAUAGAGGCAAACCCGGCGAACUGAAACAUCUCAGUAGCUGGAGGAAAGGACAUCAACCGAGACUCCGAAAGUAGUGGCGAGCGAAAUCGGACCAGGCCAAUCAUUGUGUAAGCGACAGACGAAGUGGAUGGAAAGCCACGCUAAAGUAGGUGAUAGCCCUGUAGUCGAAAUCAAAUAUGCAAUGUACGAGUAGGGCGGGACACGUGAAAUCCUGUCUGAACAUGGGGGGACCACCCUCCAAGCCUAAGUACUCCUUUGUGACCGAUAGCGUACAAGUACCGUGAGGGAAAGGUGAAAAGUACCCCGAUAAGGGGAGUGAAACAGUUCCUGAAACCGGAUGCCUACAAACAGUCGGAGCACCUUUAAGGUGUGACGGCGUACCUUUUGUAUAAUGGGUCAGCGAGUUUAUCUGUGGAGCAAGCUUAAGCCGAUAGGUGUAGGCGAAGGGAAACCAAGUCUGAAUAGGGCGAUGAGUUCCGCGGAUAAGACCCGAAACCGAGUGAUCUAGAUAUGGGCAGGUUGAAGACACCUUAACCGGUGUUGGAGGACCGAACCCACGCCUGUUGCAAAAGGCGGGGAUGACCUGUGUCUAGGGGUGAAAGGCUAAUCAAACUCGGAUAUAGCUGGUUCUCCGCGAAAUCUAUUGAGGUAGAGCGUCGUGUGAUGACCACGGGGGGUAGAGCACUGAAUAGGCUAGGGGGGCGCGAGCCUUACCAACCCUAAUCAAACUCCGAAUACCCGUGAGUUUAACACGGCAGACAGUCUGUGGGUGAUAAGGUCCAUGGACGAGAGGGAAACAGCCCUGACCGCCAGCUAAGGUCCCCAAUUCAUGGCUAAGUGGAAAAGGAAGUGGGGAGGCCAAGACAGCCAGGAGGUUGGCUUAGAAGCAGCCAUCCUUUAAAGAAAGCGUAACAGCUCACUGGUCUAGUUAAGCCACCCCGCGCCGAAGAUGUACCGGGGCUAAAGCCAUGAACCGAAGCUGCGGGUGUUAUCGCAAGAUAAUGCGGUAGCGGAGCGUUCUGUAAGCCUGUGAAGGAGUACCUGUGAGGGGCUCUGGAGGUAUCAGAAGUGCGAAUGCUGACAUAAGUAACGUAAAGCAGUGUGAGAGACACUGCCGCCGAAAGUCCAAGGGUUCCUGUGCUAGGUUAAUCCGCGCAGGGUAAGCCGGCCCCUAAGGCGAGACCGAAAGGUGUAGUCGAUGGGAACUGGGUGAAUAUUCCCAGGCCACGGAUGAGUGACGAAGGCAGCCCGUUGUAUGAUCUGAAUGGAUUGAUCAUGCAGCUAAUGACUUCCAGGAAAUAACUCAUCCUUUAUUGUGACCGUACCCUAAACCGACACUGGUGGACACGUAGAGUAUACGAAGGCGCUUGAGAGAACUAUGUUGAAGGAACUCGGCAAAUUGACUCUGUAACUUCGGGAGAAGGAGUGCCUGUCUUUGGGCAACCAGAGGCAGGUGGCACAAACUAGGGGGUAGCGACUGUUUACCAAAAACACAGGACUCUGCAAAGACGAAAGUCGACGUAUAGGGUCUGACGCCUGCCCGGUGCUGGAAGGUUAAGAGGAGGUGUGCAAGCACUGAAUUGAAGCCCCAGUAAACGGCGGCCGUAACCAUAACGGUCCUAAGGUAGCGAAAUUCCUUGUCGGGUAAGUUCCGACCUGCACGAAUGGCGUAACGACUUCCCCACUGUCUCCAACAUAGACUCAGUGAAAUUGAAUUCCCCGUGAAGAUGCGGGGUACCCGCGGUUAGACGGAAAGACCCCAUGCACCUUUACUACAGCUUUGCAGUGGCGUUAGGGGCAACAUGUGUAGGAUAGGCGGGAGCCUUUGAAGUUUGGACGCCAGUCCGGAUGGAGGCAUCCUUGAAAUACCGCCCUUGUUGCUUUUGACGUCUAACGGAAUCCCGUGAUCCGGGAUCCGGACCCUGCAUGGUGGGUAGUUUGACUGGGGCGGUCGCCUCCUAAAGCGUAACGGAGGCGCGCGAUGGUAGGCUCAAGUUGGUCGGAAAUCAACUGAAGCGUGCAAUGGCAUAAGCCUGCCUGACUGCAAGACGUACAUGUCGAGCAGAGACGAAAGUCGGCCAUAGUGAUCCGGUGGUUCCAAGUGGAAGGGCCAUCGCUCAACGGAUAAAAGGUACGCUGGGGAUAACAGGCUGAUCUUGCCCAAGAGUUCAUAUCGACGGCAAGGUUUGGCACCUCGAUGUCGACUCAUCACAUCCUGGGGCUGAAGAAGGUCCCAAGGGUUCGGCUGUUCGCCGAUUAAAGUGGUACGUGAGUUGGGUUCAGAACGUCGUGAGACAGUUCGGCUCCUAUCUGCCGUGGGAGACUAGAUGAUUGAGAGGACUUGCCCCUAGUACGAGAGGACCGGGGUGAACGUUGCUCUGGUGUACCGGUUGUCCUGCCAAGGGCAGUGCCGGGUAGCUAAACAACGGACGAGAUAACCGCUGAAUGCAUCUAAGCGGGAAGCUCCCCUCAAUACCAGUCAUCUCUAUGAAGGCCGUGGAAGACCACCACGUAAAUAGGUUCGGUGUGGAAGCCCUGUAAGGGGUGAAGCUAACGAAUCCUAAUCGCCUCAUUGGCUUGAUAU
rnacentral:rRNA from 1 species